rnacentral:rRNA from 1 species
UACGGAGGAUCCAAGCGUUAUCCGGAUUUAUUGGGUUUAAAGGGUGCGUAGGUGGUUCAUUAAGUCAGGGGUGAAAGACGGCAGCUUAACUGUCGCAGUGCCUUUGAUACUGAUGAACUUGAAUGAACUAGAGGUAGGCGGAAUGUGACAAGUAGCGGUGAAAUGCAUAGAUAUGUCACAGAACACCAAUUGCGAAGGCAGCUUACUAUGGUUUUAUUGACACUGAGGCACGAAAGCGUGGGGAUCAAACAGG